AGUACGCUAUGUGAAUCAUCGAAUCUUUGAACGCAACACGCACUUUGGACGUAAAAAAUCCAAAGUAUAUCUGUUUGAGUGUCACAAACAAUACUAAUCAACAUGAAGAAAAACCAAGUAAUUGAGUUUUUCAUACGUUGAAUCUUGGGAGUUUUAGUAAAUCUAAAUCUCCAUAAAAUACAUAGAGAAAUAUAUCAUAUACUCUAAGUGAGCAACUGUUAAUACAUUUCUCUCUUAUAGUUAAAUUGAUUGUUAUUUCUCUGAACAAGACAUUCUCUUUUUUAUUAUGACAUCAAAUCAGGUAAGGCUACCCGCUGAAUUUAAGCAUAUCAAUAAGCGGAGG
rnacentral:rRNA from 1 species